UGAAGAAAUUCAACCAAGCGCGGGUA
rnacentral:ncRNA from 2 species